rnacentral:rRNA from 1 species
UGGGGAAUAUUGGACAAUGGGCGCAAGCCUGAUCCAGCCAUGCCGCGUGAGUGAUGAAGGCCCUAGGGUUGUAAAGCUCUUUUACCCGCGAAGAUAAUGACGGUAGCGGGAGAAUAAGCUCCGGCUAACUCCGUGCCAGCAGCCGCGGUAAUACGGAGGAUGCAAGCGUUAUUCGGAAUUAUUGGGCGUAAAGCGUCCGCAGGUGGUGCCUCAAGUCUGCUGUCAAAGACCGAAGCUCAACUUCGGGCAGGCAGUGGAAACUGAAGCACUAGAGUACGGUAGGGGUAGAGGGAAUUUCCAGUGUAGCGGUGAAAUGCGUAGAGAUUGGAAAGAACACCAGUGGCGAAGGCGCUCUACUGGACCGUAACUGACACUCAGGGACGAAAGCUAGGGGAGCGAAAGGGAUUAGAUACCCCCGUAGUCC